rnacentral:misc_RNA from 1 species
GAUGAAGAACGUAGCGAAAUGCAAUAAGUAAUGUGAAUUGCAGAAUUCAGUGAAUCAUCGAAUCUUUGAACGCACCUUGCACCCUUUGGCAUUCUGAAGGGUAUGCUCGUUUGAGUGUCAUUGUACUCUCACACUCCCGAUCUUUGCAUUGGGAGCAGUGGACUUGGGUUUGCUGCUUCACCGUCGCUUACCUCAAAUAGGUUAGUGCAACUCUUGGUUGGACAUAGUACGGCGUGAUAAGUGUUCUUCGCCGGUGCCUCGCAAAGAGGGUGGCCGAUCGGGAUGUUGUGCUCCAAACCGUCUUCGGACAAUCUCUGACGACUUGACCUCAAAUCGAGUAAGACUACCCGCUGAACUUAAGCAUAUCAAUAAGCGGAGGA